GGCUCCUAGGGCGUCACUCGGCCUCUGUCCCCCUGACGAUCCCCCCUGCAACUCCUCCACCACGGGCCAGAGACCCCCCUCUCUGGGUGGCAGACACGGGUGGCUGUGCCGGCUGGUUGGAAGUAGAGGAUAUCUCUCUUCCAGUAACUGUUCUGUGAAAACUUUAAGGUAGCAAUCUCCUCCCAUGACAUCUGGUACAGCAUCACUUCGAAGGGGAGGACUGGACAAGAGGAAAUCGCAGAUGGAUCAUGGAGAGUGAGAGGAAGGAACACAAACGAGGCAGCUGCCAGGUCCCAGGUUGAGAGGGCCAGCCAGCCAGGGAGAGGGGAGCAGAAAAGAGACAGGAGAGGCGAGUCCCAGGUGCGGGUGCACAUCACCGGUCGGAACACGGAGUUUGAAUUUUCUCCUUUCAGCCACUGGUAAAUGCUAAUUAAUUCACUUAUUUACAUCCUGAAACACCUAGUCCGUUAGACCGGGUUUGCUCAACCAACCUAGAAGACACUAUGUCUUGUUCUACUUGGUGGAAAUUUGCUCCCUGAAAACAGUUACGGUAGAUGACAAAGUUUGGGGACGCUCGGGCAUGGGCAAGCUUGCUUCUACGAAUAAAUCCUCCAAAAGUUGUUAGCCUCUCUUUUUUUUAAAAAACCAUUUGGAUGUGGUUAGGCAUAGAAUUUUGCAAUAGCAAUUAAGCAUCAUAUAUAGUUUAUUUUUUUAAGCUCUUUAUUGGAAUAUAAUUGCUUUACACUCUUGUACCAGUUUUUGAGGUACACCAAAGUCAAUCAGCUGUAUUUAUACACAUAACCCC